rnacentral:rRNA from 1 species
UACGGGGGGGGCAAGCGUUGUUCGGAAUUACUGGGCGUAAAGGGUGCGUAGGCGGUUCGCUAAGUUGGAUGUGAAAACUAUGGGCUCAACCCAUAGCCUGCAUCCAAUACUGACGAACUAGAGUUCUGGAGGGGGUAGCGGAAUUCCUGGUGUAGCGGUGAAAUGCGUAGAUAUCAGGAGGAACACCGGUGGCGAAGGCGGAUCUCUGGGCCUUACCUGACGCUGAGGCGCGAAAGCUAGGGGAGCAAACAGG